rnacentral:tRNA from 1 species
GGGUGACUCGUCUAGUGGUUAGGACACUUCGUUGUGGUUCUUGCGGCAACGCGGAAACAUGACGACCGAAGAAACCCUGGUUCGAUUCCAGGGUCACCCA